GUGCCAGCAGCCGCGGUAACACGUAGGAGGCAAGCGUUAUCCGGAUUUACUGGGCGUAAAGCGCGUGUAGGCGGUUCGGUAAGUUGGAUGUGAAAUCUCCUGGCUCAACUAGGAGAGGUCGUUCAAUACUGCCAGACUAGAGGACGGUAGAGGAAGGUAGAAUUCCCGGUGUAGUGGUGAAAUGCGUAGAUAUCGGGAGGAAUACCAGUGGCGAAGGCGGCCUUCUGGGCCGUUCCUGACGCUCAGACGCGAAAGCGUGGGUAGCGAACGGGAUUAGAAACCCUUGUAGUCC
rnacentral:rRNA from 1 species